UUAAGCGACUAAGCGUACACGGUGGAUGCCCUGGCAGUCAGAGGCGAUGAAGGACGUGCUAAUCUGCGAUAAGCGUCGGUAAGGUGAUAUGAACCGUUAUAACCGGCGAUUUCCGAAUGGGGAAACCCAGUGUGUUUCGACACACUAUCAUUAACUGAAUCCAUAGGUUAAUGAGGCGAACCGGGGGAACUGAAACAUCUAAGUACCCCGAGGAAAAGAAAUCAACCGAGAUUCCCCAGUAGCGGCGAGCGAACGGGGAGCAGCCCAGAGCCUGAAUCAGUGUGUGUGUUAGUGGAAGCGUCUGGAAAGGCGCGCGAUACAGGGUGACAGCCCCGUACACAAAAAUGCACAUGCUGUGAGCUCGAUGAGUAGGGCGGGACACGUGGUAUCCUGUCUGAAUAUGGGGGGACCAUCCUCCAAGGCUAAAUACUCCUGACUGACCGAUAGUGAACCAGUACCGUGAGGGAAAGGCGAAAAGAACCCCGGCGAGGGGAGUGAAAAAGAACCUGAAACCGUGUACGUACAAGCAGUGGGAGCACGCUUAGGCGUGUGACUGCGUACCUUUUGUAUAAUGGGUCAGCGACUUAUAUUCUGUAGCAAGGUUAACCGAAUAGGGGAGCCGAAGGGAAACCGAGUCUUAACUGGGCGUUAAGUUGCAGGGUAUAGACCCGAAACCCGGUGAUCUAGCCAUGGGCAGGUUGAAGGUUGGGUAACACUAACUGGAGGACCGAACCGACUAAUGUUGAAAAAUUAGCGGAUGACUUGUGGCUGGGGGUGAAAGGCCAAUCAAACCGGGAGAUAGCUGGUUCUCCCCGAAAGCUAUUUAGGUAGCGCCUCGUGAAUUCAUCUCCGGGGGUAGAGCACUGUUUCGGCAAGGGGGUCAUCCCGACUUACCAACCCGAUGCAAACUGCGAAUACCGGAGAAUGUUAUCACGGGAGACACACGGCGGGUGCUAACGUCCGUCGUGAAGAGGGAAACAACCCAGACCGCCAGCUAAGGUCCCAAAGUCAUGGUUAAGUGGGAAACGAUGUGGGAAGGCCCAGACAGCCAGGAUGUUGGCUUAGAAGCAGCCAUCAUUUAAAGAAAGCGUAAUAGCUCACUGGUCGAGUCGGCCUGCGCGGAAGAUGUAACGGGGCUAAACCAUGCACCGAAGCUGCGGCAGCGACACUAUGUGUUGUUGGGUAGGGGAGCGUUCUGUAAGCCUGUGAAGGUGUACUGUGAGGUAUGCUGGAGGUAUCAGAAGUGCGAAUGCUGACAUAAGUAACGAUAAAGCGGGUGAAAAGCCCGCUCGCCGGAAGACCAAGGGUUCCUGUCCAACGUUAAUCGGGGCAGGGUGAGUCGACCCCUAAGGCGAGGCCGAAAGGCGUAGUCGAUGGGAAACAGGUUAAUAUUCCUGUACUUGGUGUUACUGCGAAGGGGGGACGGAGAAGGCUAUGUUGGCCGGGCGACGGUUGUCCCGGUUUAAGCGUGUAGGCUGGUUUUCCAGGCAAAUCCGGAAAAUCAAGGCUGAGGCGUGAUGACGAGGCACUACGGUGCUGAAGCAACAAAUGCCCUGCUUCCAGGAAAAGCCUCUAAGCAUCAGGUAACAUCAAAUCGUACCCCAAACCGACACAGGUGGUCAGGUAGAGAAUACCAAGGCGCUUGAGAGAACUCGGGUGAAGGAACUAGGCAAAUGGUGCCGUAACUUCGGGAGAAGGCACGCUGAUAUGUAGGUGAAGUCCCUCGCGGAUGGAGCUGAAAUCAGUCGAAGAUACCAGCUGGCUGCAACUGUUUAUUAAAAACACAGCACUGUGCAAACACGAAAGUGGACGUAUACGGUGUGACGCCUGCCCGGUGCCGGAAGGUUAAUUGAUGGGGUUAGCCGCAAGGCGAAGCUCUUGAUCGAAGCCCCGGUAAACGGCGGCCGUAACUAUAACGGUCCUAAGGUAGCGAAAUUCCUUGUCGGGUAAGUUCCGACCUGCACGAAUGGCGUAAUGAUGGCCAGGCUGUCUCCACCCGAGACUCAGUGAAAUUGAACUCGCUGUGAAGAUGCAGUGUACCCGCGGCAAGACGGAAAGACCCCGUGAACCUUUACUAUAGCUUGACACUGAACAUUGAGCCUUGAUGUGUAGGAUAGGUGGGAGGCUUAGAAGUGUGGACGCCAGUCUGCAUGGAGCCGACCUUGAAAUACCACCCUUUAAUGUUUGAUGUUCUAACGUUGACCCGUAAUCCGGGUUGCGGACAGUGUCUGGUGGGUAGUUUGACUGGGGCGGUCUCCUCCUAAAGAGUAACGGAGGAGCACGAAGGUUGGCUAAUCCUGGUCGGACAUCAGGAGGUUAGUGCAAUGGCAUAAGCCAGCUUGACUGCGAGCGUGACGGCGCGAGCAGGUGCGAAAGCAGGUCAUAGUGAUCCGGUGGUUCUGAAUGGAAGGGCCAUCGCUCAACGGAUAAAAGGUACUCCGGGGAUAACAGGCUGAUACCGCCCAAGAGUUCAUAUCGACGGCGGUGUUUGGCACCUCGAUGUCGGCUCAUCACAUCCUGGGGCUGAAGUAGGUCCCAAGGGUAUGGCUGUUCGCCAUUUAAAGUGGUACGCGAGCUGGGUUUAGAACGUCGUGAGACAGUUCGGUCCCUAUCUGCCGUGGGCGCUGGAGAACUGAGGGGGGCUGCUCCUAGUACGAGAGGACCGGAGUGGACGCAUCACUGGUGUUCGGGUUGUCAUGCCAAUGGCACUGCCCGGUAGCUAAAUGCGGAAGAGAUAAGUGCUGAAAGCAUCUAAGCACGAAACUUGCCCCGAGAUGAGUUCUCCCUGACCCUUUAAGGGUCCUGAAGGAACGUUGAAGACGACGACGUUGAUAGGCCGGGUGUGUAAGCGCAGCGAUGCGUUGAGCUAACCGGUACUAAUGAACCGUGAGGCUUAACCUU
rnacentral:rRNA from 1 species